GACGAACGCUGGCGGCGUGCCUAACACAUGCAAGUCGAACGGAGUUAAGAGAGCUUGCUCUUUUAACUUAGUGGCGGACGGGUGAGUAACGCGUGAGUAACCUGCCUCAAAGUGGGGGAUAGCACCUGGAAACGGGUGGUAAUACCGCAUAAUACGUUCAGAGGACAUCCUCAGAACGUCAAAGAUUUAUUGCUUUGAGAUGGACUCGCGUCCGAUUAGCUAGUUGGUGGGGUAAUGGCCCACCAAGGCGACGAUCGGUAGCCGGACUGAGAGGUUGAACGGCCACAUUGGGACUGAGACACGGCCCAGACUCCUACGGGAGGCAGCAGUGGGGGAUAUUGCACAAUGGGCGCAAGCCUGAUGCAGCAACGCCGCGUGAGGGAAGAAGGUUUUCGGAUUGUAAACCUCUGUCUUCGGUGAAGAAACAAAUGACGGUAGCCGAGGAGGAAGCCACGGCUAACUACGUGCCAGCAGCC
rnacentral:rRNA from 1 species